rnacentral:rRNA from 1 species
GACGAACGCUGGCGGCGUGCUUAACACAUGCAAGUCGAGCGAUGAAGCACCUUCGGGUGUGAAUUAGCGGCGAACGGGUGAGGAACACGUGAAGAGUCUGCCUUCAACUCUGGGAUAACUCCGGGAAACCGGGGCUAAUACCGGAUAUGAGCCUUGAUCGCAUGAUCGGGGCUGGAAAGUUUUUCGGUUGAAGGUGACUUCGCGGCCUAUCAGCUUGUUGGUGAGGUAAUGGCUCACCAAGGCGACGACGGGUAGCCGGCCUGAGAGGGCGACCGGCCACACUGGGACUGAGACACGGCCCAGACUCCUACGGGAGGCAGCAGUGGGGAAUAUUGGGCAAUGGAGGAAACUCUGACCCAGCGACGCCGCGUGAGGGAUGAAGGCCUUCGGGUUGUAAACCUCUUUCAGUAGGGAAGAAGCGAAAGUGACGGUACCUACAGAAGAAGCACCGGCUAACUAUGUGCCAGCCGCCGCAGUAA